GCCCCCCAGCUCUGUGCAGGGGUGUCUCCCACGAGGACCAGGACCAGGACCUCUGUCCUGUCUCCCACUAGAAUCAGGGCCAUGGCUGUGCCUUCCUGAGCUGUCCUCUCCCUUGCUCUUUCUCUUCGAGAAGUUUUUCCACUUCCAACAUUCUUCAGGGAUGAAGCUUAGUCACUGUUGUGCAAGGGAUGUUCACAGCCCAUGAAAACUCCUUGCUAGUUCUUUGGGUACAGAACGUUCAUCUUUCAAGUAAACAGUUUAAAGAGAAUGCAACUGUGACCAAGCCCCUCCCCACCCCCUGCCGAGAGCUCUUAAGAGCACAAACCACGGUGUCCGCUCCUCCCAUGGCCCUGUCCCCUUGCAGGCCACCCCCGAUACAGUUUCCAGCCUCCACUCCCAAACCAGGAUAAGGACUGGCCAGCACCG
rnacentral:lncRNA from 1 species